UAUCCGUAGGUGAACCUGCGGAAGGAUCAUUCAUAACGAGUGUUUAUGGAACUUUUAAAAAUCCAGACCCACCUUGUGCGCGUCUUUAGUUAUGUUCCUUGUUCUCUCUUGAGAGGACGAGGAGGCUGGCUUCAAAGUAACCUAUCGUUAACCAGUUUGUCUGAAGCAAUGUAUCUUGAAUUAACAUAAUCCUAAAAUACAACUUUCAACAACGGAUCUCUUGGCUCUCGCAUCGAUGAAGAACGCAGG
rnacentral:misc_RNA from 1 species